rnacentral:miRNA from 1 species
ACAAGAUGUAUGGGGUGUCUGC